rnacentral:lncRNA from 1 species
CACUAUAAAAGAAUAUAACGAAAACGACACGUUACGGAAGUCGUUUUUCAUCUUCGAAAUCGUUUUUCGUUAAGUGAAAUGACCAAAUUGAAGCUCGUUUAAAAUUCUGCAAUGAGUGGGAUAUUGCACUGCGUCAUAUUCGAAAAAUGUGGUAUCGUCGCAUCAAUUCUUCGUCGUGGUUUUUUUUACAAAAAUGGUAAUAAAAAUAUUAAAAUGUUAUUCUCAAUUAAAGAAAACAGUGCUCUUUCGUUUUUAUCAAGAAUUCAUCAAAGUGGUUUUACGUAUUCGAAAUAGUUUAAAUUCAAAUAUUGUCGACAAACGGAAAGUUCGUUGUGCACUUUCGUUGUUACAUGAAAUGACCGGGUUGAAGCACAUUGUUUUAACUAGGUCAUUCUCAAUACAAGGAGCUCAUAUAAUUGCACGGCGUAAUCUUUGCAAAAUGCCGUUAAGAUGUAUCGUCUUCUCUCAACCGAAUGAUAAAAAAUGCAUUAAAUGAAAACGACGUUAUUCGUAACUUCUAAAAUAACCAACCUUCGUCUUCGUCGAUAAAAAGAAAUUUAUCGAAGUGAUUUAGCAUCUUCGAAAUCGAUUGAUUGAAUUCAGUUAUGGUCGAAAAUCGGUACGUUUGUUCUGCACGUUUUUUUUCUUGACAGAUGAAAUGACCUGGUCGGAUUUUCUCGAUUUUUUCAUCCGAUUUUCGAACACAUAUUGUCGGGAAAAAUGUCAAAUUUCCACCAGCCGUCUUCCAAAAAAGUAACUUCCGUUAGUUUGGCAAGACGUCUUCGAAAAUUGCAAGUCGAUUCCACCAUUUCGCCGGAAAGUCUUCGAAACAAACAGUAACUUGAUGCGGAAAUUGAAUCCCGCCAUUUGCGCUUAACGAUGAUGGCUGUCAACUUGAAGUGACUGGGUUGAAGGGUGAAGCUUGGUCACUUUAACUUUAAACAAAACGAGUGGCAAAUAAAGAUAAAAAAUGAUCUCCAUCCUCCAAAACAAAUACAACUGAGCGACUGAAUUGCGUCGUCCUCGAUAGGCCGAGAGGUGUCUAGACGUUUUAUCUUCAAGUGAAAUGGCUGGGUUGACGGCGCUGUUUCCACCCGGUCGCUUUCAAUACAACGAUUACACACACCACGUGGUCUUGGCAAAAUCACAAACUUUGCCAUUCAUUAAUGUAUUACAAAAAAAUUAAACGGAAACAGAUUUCGUACUCGUCAUCGGUAACGCAAUUGCGGUACGCUUUAUUGAACAAAAUUUACGAAACGUACGAAACGAUUCCCCAAAUGCGUCAUCUUCAAACAAACAAUUUAUUUUCCAUAAAAUCUCGAGAGUUUGCCUCCUGAAAAAUCCACUGGAACGGUCGCACAACGCUCCGAUAUCGUUGCAAAACCGCCAAAUCAAUAAAGAUAUACAUGUAUCCAUGAAAGAAAUGCACAGAUUCGGCAAACUUAAGUUGCUUUUUGUUUGGUUUGGUUGUUUUUCCCGAACGCUUCAGCCACAGUGAGUUUACGAUCAGUCGAUUAACGCAUGGCAUUUGUCAUCAGAUAUUGUCGAUUUCUGUUGUCAUGUGUAAGGUUUUGUCCCGUGUAAAAGUGCUUUAUAAAAGGCCUGAACACAAGUCCAACUUGCUGUUUAUAAUUUUUUUCAGCAAAGUAAACUUCAAAGUUACUGUGAAUUUACAAUCAGUAGAUCACCGUCGAAUAUUUGUGUACAUUAUAAAAUUGUAAAAUUUAUAAUCUACAUAAAAUGUAAAACUGCCGUAUUAACAUCCUGAAUCUAAGCCCGACCGAACCUGCAAAGAUCGGCAAAUCGAUUUUUAUUAUUUGUUUAGGGCAAAGUACCGGCUUUACCUAGCGGGAGUUCGCGAUUAGUUGAUUGACGCAUGGCAUUUUUAAUCUAAUAUUCUUCCAGAUUAUAAUUUGUCACGUACAUGUAUGAGGUUGUUUCCCACGUAAAAGCUAUAAAGCAGUUCUGAACGUAAUUCCGACCUGCAAAGAUCGACAGAUUAGCGUUUUAAUUUUUCCUGUGAAGUAACGCUUUUGUCACUUUGCGAUCAGUCGAUUAACUAGGACAUUUUUCAUCGAUAUUCUUGUGGAUUUUAAAUUGGUUUUACGUGUAAGAUUGUAUCCCAUGUAAAUCUGCUUUAUAAAAGCCCUGAACGUAAUUCCGACCUGCAAAGAUCGGCAAAAACAUUUCUUGCAGCAAAGUUACGCUUUGGUGACUGUGAGUUUACGACCAGUCAAUUGACGCAUGACAUAUUUUGUCAUCAAAACGUACAAGGUUGUUUCCCAUGUAAAUCUGCCGCAUAAAGACCGUGUCCCCGACAGUGCGAAUGGCCUUACCAACAGUCCCUUGAUCACUGAUGCCUACACCGGUCGGCCACAUCUGAAUGUUGUCUUGGUCAUAAUUGUCCCGUGUUGUGGAUUGAUGUUGAGGGCGCCAUCAACACCUGCGGUGCCGCAUUAUUAAACAUCACAGCGCNCAGCGCAGCUCUUGGGAGGCAGAAUGUAUUGCUGCCUGAAAGCUUUGAAUUCGACCUCUUCCUGGUCCAUCUAAGAAGAUAACCAGGAGGGAAUCCUAUAUUUUAUCAUAGUAUUACACCAACGAUUGUGGCUAGGCUUAUUGUGGUUAGGCUUAGUGUGAUUUACUAUUUUAAACGAAGGUAGCUAGGCGUACUAGAAAAAAAAAAGAAAUCAGUAAGGCUUAUAUGAAUUGUUAGGGCCUGACCUAAAAGUAAUGUGGCAGACUUUGUUCUGAUAAUGAAUUAGAGUUAUAUAUACUAACUCCAGCCAGGUGUGAUAAGCGUUUCUUUUUUUCAUCUCAACAGUGAGACCUACCGUAUAAGGUCCCUAUGUGUCUCGCAGAGGGAAGAGAGAUCGUCUUCAAGAUGGGUUUCUGGAAUGGCGAUAACCGAUUAGAGCAAUUGAGAGCUGGAUGCUGAGUUUCCCCGUUUGAUUUGCCCUCCUUCUGGAACUUUGGUGGUAAGUCUCCAAAAUCACAACACUGGAAAAUGUUCAUUUUGCUCACUUUCCUCUGUUUUUCCCGUUUUCCAAAAUGCAGAGCUUUGCGGGCAGCAUCGAGGUGGUUUUCCACAUCAGCAAAACCUGGGUUAGUGGACUAUAGGAGCAGAAUUCGUCUUGCUGAACACCACAACCCACGGAAGUCGGCCUGAUGCACCCUUCACCAGUUUUUACCUCCAGACCCAUCAAAUGGACAGCUCUCAAGACGGACCUCUUGGAAGACGACGAGCGAUUGCAAACCAGAAAGAACUGGAUGGCGACUGUCACACCCUGCUUGAUUUGCAUGUCAUUUGGACUUCUGAGGGUUCUUGAGGACCGCCUCGACCCGAAGACACCAGCGGCUGAUCGUCGAACAAGACAUGGAGCUGCUCCAACUUGUCCUACUCUGCUUGCUACACGUUCACUUAACAUUCCAAAGAAUGAAUGUUCACUGUAUUUUUGUGAACACUCACUCUCAUUGAAACUAAGGACAAGACAGAGUCGAGAGGAAUGUCUUCCCUCCGAUAGAUUAAGAUUGCACUCGUGGCCCUCCAAGGAGUGGCAUAGUGGCUCUUUUAAAAACUAUUUUCACCAAAAUUCAAUUUUUUUCCACUCUGACUUGUCUUGUCCUUAGUUUCAAUCUUUUAAAAUAAGAAAGUUGGUUCGUUGGUCAAACAUUUACGCACAUUUUGAUUAAUUGGUUGAAUUGAGAAUUCAACUUGUCAAUAUUUAUGGCAACAAUUCUUUCCCGUUAAUACCGAUAAACCAAUCCAAGCUUAUUAAAAGCUGAUAGCAAUCAUGAUAUCAAAAAGAGGUUGCCCAAAAGAGUGUUUAAAUAUCAUUGAACUUUGAGUCCAAGUGUGUGUAAACGUUCGGAAAAGCUGUAUCUACUGUUGUUGUUAGGUUUUGGAAAAAAUCAUGCUUAUGAAAAAAAUCUGAAACUAUUUCCUGUUAAAACACUUAUGUCAUAAGCCCACGUAAGACGCCCAGGUAGAGACUGGAUGGAACAAUUCAUUCUAACUGCUGUUUCGAAAUAUUAUUGCAUUCCCACUAAAUUGCAAAUUCGUUCGCUUGAAUUACUCCAGUAAAUUGCACAAAUUGGUAAUUCAUUCCUAUGAAUUACUAAUUUGUUCGCAGACUCCAGUGAUCCGUUUGUAAAGAUUAGUAAUUCGUUCUUAUGAAUUACUAAUUAGUUUGCUUGAAUGACUCUAGUAAUUUGUUUUCCUCCACAAAUUACUAAUUCAGUCACAAAUUACUCCAGUAAUCCAAGCGCAGAAAUUAGUAAUUUGUCCCUGUUAAGACUAAUUCGUUUGCACAAAUGUAUCAUUUGUUCACACGAAUAUCUUAAGUAAUUUGUUUACGAAUUAGUAAUUUGUUCCCACAAAUUAUUAAUUUGUUCAACGAAUCACUCCAGUAAUUUAUUUGUAUAAAUUACUCCAGCACAUAAUUUACACAAAUCAGUAAUUCUUUUCUACGAAUUACUAAUUUGUUCCCACAAUUUACUAAUUUCUUCGCACGAAUUACUCCGGUAAUUUCUUUUCACAAUUUGUUCCAACGAAUUAUUAAUUCGUUCACAAGAAUUGUUAAUUCAUUGAACGAAUUAAUUUGUUCCAAUAAUUGUUAUACACAAAUGAGUAAUUCUUUGUUACGAAUUACUCAUUUGCAUGCACAAAUUACUUCAGUAAUUCAUAAAGCGUUAGUAAUUUAUUCCCAUAAAUUACUAACUCGUUUUCUAGAAUUACUGAUUUUUUGCACGAAAUACUUAUUCGUUAGCAACAACCACGCCAGUUAUUUGUACGAAUAACUGAAUUGUUGGAGCGAAUUAGUUAAGUCAUUCGUUUGCACAAUUAAUAUUCGUUCCAGCGAAUUACACCAGUAAUUAUACGAACGAAUGAUGUUAUUUGUGUGAACGAAGUAGUAAUCCGAGCGGACUAAUUUUAUUCUUGGAAUGGAUUAGUACUUGUUACAAGUGAAAUGACAAAGUAAAUAAAGGUCCAUCCAGUUCCUUCAUGGGCUUCAUUAUUGUGUAAACAAAUAUUGUUGUGUAAACAAAUAUAUUGAUGCCACAGAGCCGUAUUGGUUAAUUAAUGAAUUUGGUUUAUUCAAAUUACAGUGUUUCUCUUAUUAACGUCACAAAAAGCCAUGAUGGACUGUUUACAGUGUUAAUACCUUGUAAUAUCUUCUUGGAGAUUAUUUCAAAUUGUUUACUUUGAUAAGUAUUCUGUUCCAAAAUUGAUUUAUAUAUAAUUAAGGAUCACUGGUAACUUGUUAACGUUCUGACUGCCUUGAAUACUUCAACGAAACCAGCGUUGAUAUAGAUCCUUCAAUAUCUUGAACAAUGGCUAAAUGCAAGUUUUGGAAAGGAUUGAUUUGGAAUUGUCCGUCUCUAGUGUUGUUUACUUUCCUGUACGGGUGUUAUAGUCUAUCUUGUGAGAAUAGCGACAAAGUAUGUUUCAAUUGGAACUUGGUAUAAUCUGAGAAUGUAUCUCCUAAUUGAAAACAAGGGCCCAAAAUUACUAAAAGGCGCUGGCCGAAACACGACCAAAGUUGGAUCUUUGCUCCACAAAUUUCACAAAACGUUAGAUUUGUAUUGAAAUGUUAAAGUACAUCAACAAUGUCUUGAUUUCCAAGACAAAGAAAGAUAUCAGAAUUUAAAUAAAAUAAGAAUUAGAGAUAA